rnacentral:rRNA from 1 species
CCUACGGGAGGCUGCAGUGGGGAAUAUUGCACAAUGGGGGAAACCCUGAUGCAGCAACGCCGCGUGAGUGAUGAAGUAUUUCGGUAUGUAAAGCUCUAUCAGCAGGGAAUUGAAGAGAAGGUACCUGAAAAAGAAGCCCCUGCUAACUGCGUGCCAGCAGCCGCGGUAAUACGCAGGGGGCAAGCGUUAUCCGGAUGUACUGGGUGUAAAGGGAGUGUAGACGGAAAGGCAAGUCAGAAGGGAAAACCCAAGGCUCAACCAUGGGACUGCUUUUGAAACUGGCAAACUAGAGUACGGGAGAGGUAAGAGGAAUGCGUAGUGUAGCGGUGAAAUGCGUAGAUAUUAGGAGGAACACCAGUGGCGAAGGCGGCUUACUGGACCGAAACUGACGUUGAGGCUCGAAAGCGUGGGGAGCGAACAGGAUUAGAUACCCUUGUAGUC